rnacentral:rRNA from 1 species
GAAAGGUGUGCUAAUACCGCAUAAUCCGCCGGGCCUGCGGGUCUGACGGCAAAGGUGGCCUCUUCAUGAAAGCUGCCGGAUGGAGAUGAGCCCGCGUCCCAUUAGCUAGUUGGUAGGGUAACGGCCUACCAAGGCAACGAUGGGUAGCUGGUCUGAGAGGACGGCCAGCCACACUGGAACUGGAACACGGUCCAGACUCCUACGGGAGGCAGCAGUGAGGAAUAUUGCGCAAUGGGGGAAACCCUGACGCAGCGAUGCCGCGUGGGUGAAGAAGGCCUUCGGGUCGUAAAGCCCUGUCAGGUGGGAAGAAUAGCCUCCAAUUAAAUAGGUUGGAGGUAUGACGGUACCACCGAAGGAAGCACCGGCUUAACUCCGUGCCAGCAGCCGCGGUAAGACGGAGGGUGCGAGCGUUUNUNCGGAAUUAUUGGGCGUAAAGAGCG